CUUUUUGCAGAUUAAAGACCACAUAUCAGGCUACACAUAAGAACUUUUAAAGAACAAAACUCAUGAUCGAGCAAAAAGUUAUGACCUCUGACAUUUGGUGAAAAAUAACAUAAUUCGAUUUUUUUCCAACUUGCUUAAAUCUUCAAAUUCGUGCACUUUGAUGUUAUGGGUCUUUGAUUUAUCAACCCAUAUCAUCAAUUAACAUUCUAUUACACAACUUUAAACAAUCAAUUGCAUCAAAUAACAUCGAAUCAAAGGAUUUCUAGGUUUAGUGUUCUUAUACCCUUUUUGCCAAAAAUUCUUGAUUCUUGCUUCUGAUUUGUUAUGGGUGAUGGUUGGGCUUUG
rnacentral:lncRNA from 1 species